UUCAGACGUGGGUUCUUCCAAUGUCCGGGGCUGCACGCGUGCCAUACUGAUCGGAUCAGCGUGUGCCUACCCUUCGCCGAGAGGCGCGGGUAACCCGAUGAACCCCACUCGUGAUGGGGAUUGGGGAUUGCAAUUACUUCCCA